AGCAGCCGCGGUAAUUCCAGCUCCAAUAGCGUAUAUUAGUGUUGUUGCGGUUAAAAAGCUCGUAGUUGAAUUUCGGGAUUGGGAUAUAUCGGUCAUGUCUUUAGGGGCAUGAAUCGGUGUGUGGCUAAUUCUCACCUUCUGGUGAAUUGGGAUGCUCUUGGGUAUUUCAAUGAACUAGGACUUUUACUUUGAAAAAAUUAGAGUGUUUAAAGUGGGCAUUUUUGCUUGAAUACAUUAGCAUGGAAUAAUAAAAUAGGACGAUGGUUCUAUUUUGUUGGUUUUAGGACCACGUAAUGAUUAAUAGGGAUAGUUGGGGGCAUUAGUAUUCAAUUGUCAGAGGUGAAAUUCUUGGAUUUAUUGAGGACUAACUACUGCGAAAGCAUUUGCCAAGGAUGUUUUCAUUAAUCAAGAACGAAAGUUAGGGGAUCAAAGACGAUUUAUGUACGUCGUAGUCUUAACCAUAAACUAUGCCGACUAGGAAUCAGACAAAGUUAAUUUUUUAACGACUUGUUUGGUACCUUACG
rnacentral:rRNA from 1 species